rnacentral:rRNA from 1 species
UACAGAGGUCUCAAGCGUUGUUCGGAUUCAUUGGGCGUAAAGGGUGCGUAGGUGGCGUCGUAAGUCGGGUGUGAAAUUUCGGAGCUUAACUCCGAAACUGCAUUCGAUACUGCGGUGCUUGAGGACUGGAGAGGAGACUGGAAUUUACGGUGUAGCAGUGAAAUGCGUAGAGAUCGUAAGGAAGACCAGUGGCGAAGGCGGGUCUCUGGACAGUUCCUGACACUGAGGCACGGAAGGCCCAGGGGAGCAAACGGG